CUGCUGUGGGGCCGCAAGCGAGCACUUCCCGGGGCUCUGAGCCCACCCCUCGCCUUUCUUCGGUUAGCCAGAAAGCCUCAUGUUGGCUGCAGUGCUGUAGCAAACCGACAAGGGCUAGUGACGUCACAACUGCCCGCCAAAACGGCCCCUCCCACCUUAGAGAACCGACCAAGAGCAGAGACGGCUAACAUUUGGCCGGGAGGGACUUCCGGGCCUGCGCGCGCCGCCCGCCCCGCCCCCGGGAGAGGGCCCUCCCCUUGCGUCGCAACCCCUGCGGCUCCACUUUUCCCGCGUGAUUCUUGCUCCCGGAGGCUGCGGAAGCCCGGAAGUGUCGCAAGGACAAGACUGAGUGCAUGGAUCUAGCAAGCAACCUAUUGUCAAGGAGGAGCCAGCAAGUUCUGCAGGAACUGAGGUCCCCACCCAGUGGAAGAUGGAAUAAUGAUGUUGACCUUUUCUGACCCUUAUGACUUCAGUCAACUAAAGCUUGGACUCUGUCAACCUUUGCCCCAAUUUGCUGCUGAGUUCUCCUCUAUUCAAGCCCCUUCAUGAUUAUGCAUGUACCCUUAGCUUAAAACUUCCCCAGUUUUGCUGUUUGGGAAGACGCUGCUUUGGGGAAGAUCCCUGGUGUUUUCCUUACUUGCUGCAAGUAAUACAUCCUUUCUUGUCCCAGUCUUUGGCUUGGUUGUCUUUUGGUUCAACGCCCACCAAGAGUUGAACCCAGUUUUCAGGUAACAACCAGCUGUUGCAGUUUAGAAAAUGCUUACUUUAGAAAUAGGGCCUGCCAGUGUUCAUAGUAGUUAUUUACAAUAGCCAAGACAUGGAAGCGACCCAAGUGUCCAUCGACCAAUGAAUGGAUAGAGAAGAUGUGAUACAUAUAUAUAGAGGAAUGUUACUCAGACAUAAAAAAGAACAAAAUAAUGACACUUGCAGAAACAUGGGUGGCCCUAGAGAUUAUCAUAAUUAAGUCAGACAAAGACAAAUGCCACAUGAUAUCACUUAUAUGUGGAAUCUAAAAAAAUUAUGCAAAUGAACUUAUUUACAAAACAGAUUCACAGACAUAGAAAACAAUUUUACGGUUACCAGAGGGGAAGGGGAGAGAUAAAUUAGGAGUUUGGGAUUAACAGAUACACACUAUUAAAAGAAUUUUAAAAAAAAGAAAAGAAAAGAAAUAGGGCUUGCACUAAACUGGAUAGCUUAGAUCUCAGGCCACUCAUACUGUAAGUUUCUCCAUGGCAGAGGAGUUAUAUUAUCCAUCUCUAUGUUAGUAAGACUUUGGCAAGCAAGGGACUCUGAGAUGUGUACCACAGUUCUGGCAAGUAAACAGGUGCUCAAAUUAAUCUCUUUUGAAUGAAUGAGCUUAAGAAAAUGUAACUUCUUCACAAUCCAUUGUUGGAACCAUAUUAAGAAACCCAAUUUUAGGGACUUCCCAGGUGGCACAGUGGUUAAGAGUCUGCCUGCCAAUGCAGGGGGCACGAGUUCGAGCCCUGGUCCAGGAAGAUCCUACAUGCUG